rnacentral:lncRNA from 1 species
UAGGAUUUGGUUUCGGAUUUAGGAUUUGAUUAGGACUUAGGAUUUAGGAUUUGAUUAGGGUUUAGGUUUUAUAUUUUUUUAGGGUUAGGAUUUGGUUAGGGUUUGACUAAGAUUUAUUUAGGAUUUGACUAGGGUUUGUUUAGGAUUUGGAAUUGAUUAGGAUUUAUUAGGAUUAAGAUUUGUCUAAGAUUUGACUAGGGUAUGUUUAGGAUUUAGGGUUUUUUUAGGGUUUGAUUAAGAUUGGAUUAAGAUUAGGGUUUGAUUAGAAUUUAAGGUUUUAUUAAAAAAAAAAUUUGAAUUUGACUAAGUUUUCUUUAAUAUUCUUUUAUAUUUCUUUAAGAUUUCCUUGUAUUUCUUUUAUAACUUCAAUAAAAUUUAAUUGAGCUUGUUUAAUGUUUGAUUAUGAUUGUUAACGUUUAAUUGUCAUUUCUCUAUAAUCCUAUUAGAUUUUUAGGACCUUUUGUUGCAAUUUUCUUUUA